UCCUCUAAAGGUACCGUCAUCGUAGCCUAUAGCUACUUAUUCUUCCCUCUAAACAGUGCUUUACGCUCCGAAAAGCUUCUUCACACACACGGUGUCGCUGGAUCAGGGUUUCCCCCAUUGUCCAAUAUUCCCU
rnacentral:rRNA from 1 species